rnacentral:rRNA from 1 species
CAGAGUACCAAUUGGAGGGCAAGUCUGGUGCCAGCAGCCGCGGUAAUUCCAGCUCCAAUAGCGUAUAUUAAACUUGUUGCAGUUAAAAAGCUCGUAGUUGAAUUUCAGCGUUUCGCGUGUGCCUCUUUUGGCCCAUCUCGUCUCGCUUUUUUUAUUACUUUGAGAAAAUUAGAGUGUUUCAAGCAGGCUUUUGUCUUGAAUACUUGAGCAUGGAAUAAUAGAGUAGGACCUUGGUUCUAUUUUGUUGGUUUUGUUACCUUGGUAAUGGUUAAUAGGAACGGUUGGGGGCAUUCGUAUUUAACUGUCAGAGGUGAAAUUCUUAGAUUUGUUAAAGACGAACUACUGCGAAAGCAUUUGCCAAGGACGUUUCCAUUAAUCAAGAACGAAAGUUAGGGGAUCGAAGACGAUCAGAUACCGUCGUAGUCCUA